CCACACCCUCAGGCCCAGCCCGAUCCACACCCUCAGGCCCAGCCCGAUCCACACCCUCAGGCCCAGCCCGAUCCACACCCUGAGGCCCAGGAAAAGGAGACAUUUUAGAUUUUAGAUUUACACCCUGUCUCUCUCCCUGUGAAGGAACAACCCCCCCCCAAAAAAAGAAAGUGUUGCCGGAAAUGUAGUAGGCAAAAAGUUUUCAAAUAUGACUCCAUAACAGGACGAAGGAUAAAUGAGGGGCAAGAGGAAGUAAGGGUGAAAUGGUUACCUUGCUCUGCAUGUGGAAAAAUCUGGGAGGAGACAUGGGAGCCGGCCUGCCAGUUCUCACCAGGUGCCAACCAUGUGUAAUGUCACACAUUGGUCUGUAAUUCAAUGAGUUAAAUACCUGCUAUGAGAUGUCAAGUUUGCCGUUACGGGCCCAGCCAUCCUGCUUGCGGAUGUGACUACUUUAGAUGAGGAGGAGCCGCGUUACACACUUUCAAUGGUUUCCACCCUAACAUGCUGUCAUGCUGUUUUUUCAUUUAUUUUUUAAUUAUUGAUU